rnacentral:rRNA from 1 species
CCCUUAGAUGUUCUGGGCCGCACGCGUGCUACACUGAGUGGAUCAGCGGGUCAGGUUGCGCGAAAGCGUUUCCUAAUCUUUAAAUCCGCUCGUGAUGGGGAUUGACGGUUGCAAUUUUCUGUCAUGAACGAGGAAUACCUUGUAAGCGCGGGUCAUCAUCCCGCGCUGAAUACGUCCCUGCCCUUUGUACACACCGCCCGUCGCUCCUACCGAUUGAGUGGUCCGGUGAAAUCUUCGGAUUGCUGACCAAGAUCCAGCAAUGGAGCUUGGUUGCGAGAAGUUGAUUAAACCUUAUUAUUUAGAGGAAGGAGAAGUCGUAACA